AACGCACCUUGCGCUCCUUGGUAUUCCGAGGAGCACGCCUGUUUGAGUGUCGUGUAAUUCUCAACCUAUCAGCCUUUGCGGGCUUGGUUAGGCUUGGAUAUUGGAGGACUAUCGUCGGCUUGUUUCAACGAGUCGGCCCCUCUCAAAUGCAUUAGCUUAGUCCCUUGCGGAUCGGCUCCCAGUGUGAUAGUUUAUCUACGCUGCGACCGUGAAGCGUCCUAUGGCGAGCUUCUAACGGUCUCUUUAAUGAGACAAUAACACUUUGACAUCUGACCUCAAAUCAGGCGGGACUACCCGCUGAACUUAA
rnacentral:misc_RNA from 1 species